ACGUGGGCUAUCGUAGCUCAUCCACUGAUAAAGUUCCCUUUGUUGGACAUGCAGACUGCACUGCCUGCCAGUCAUUGCCAUGCCUGUAUGGGAGCUGUGAGCUCACAGCCCAAAGCAGUGAUGGAGCACCUGGAGAGGGGUGUAGCCCUGUGAGCACAGGUGGAAGCAGUUCCCAGGACCAGCUGAGGCUGAACCCAGCUCCACUCCUCCCUGGCCACAUUUAAGGGCUGGCAGGAAGAGAGGCAGCAUGUCUUUCUGGAGCCUGCUUGCUUAGGAGCAUGGGGUGAGCCAUGGAGUGGGUGAGCUGUGCCAUCUUUGGGUAUCCUGACUGCGUUUAAGGGCUGUAAGCCUGAAGGGCGGCAUCUCUCCUUGGGGACUGCUUCCCGUGGAAUGCAGGGAGGUCAGCGAUAUCCGGGGCCGUGUUAAUAGAGGAGCGGCCAGCAGGGAGAAGGAGCCGAUUGUCGGUGCAGCGUCAGGGCGAAGGUGGGGAGCUGCUGGGGGCGGCUGCGCCCGCGUUAAGGAGCCGUGCGAGGAGCAGCGACACCGACAGCGCGAGAUACGACGCGUCCAGCGGGAUCCGCUCGAGCAGCCCGAGGGGACACGGCGGCCGUCAGGACUCCCGGCACCGGGCCGGACAUGGGGGGUCAUGCACUUGGAUUUGCCCACGGCGCUGCCGCCCAGGCACGUGAUCUUCACGGCCUCCGCAGCGCCGCCCUCAACCGAGGCCUCAGCCCGGGGCUGCUCCGCUCCAACGCUGCGUCCCCGCUGCGCGAUGCAUUGCGUCAUCACCCGCGCGCCGUCGUACUCUGAUGACGUCAUCACAGCUGCGCCGUCUCGUGGGGUUGAAAGGCGGGGUCAGAGCUGGGGGCGGAGCCUGCGGAGUAGCGACCAAUGAGAGGGAGGGACGGGCGGUGGGCGGGGCUUGAGUGGAGGGGCGGGUCUAUGCUAAUCAGAGCCGCGGGGGUCGCCGGGAGCGCUCCGCCACGAUGAACCGGGGCCCGGCGGAGCCGCUGUCGGGGACGGAGCGGGAGCGGCACCGGCGGAGCGGGGUUGAGGUUGGAUUCCUGUUGUCAGUAUGCCCAUUCCAGAUCCAUUUCAGCUCUGAAUUCAACAUCUGUGUACAUAGAACAAAGACAAGGACCCAAUGUGUGCAGGAUGGAUCCCAAUGUGUGCUCACAUUGCAAUGUGGGACAUCUAUCCUGUUGUCUCCUUACUGGGUAUCAAUGAGCAACAACAUUCUUGCUGGAUCCCAAUGGAGCUGCAGAUCAAUCCAGCCCUCAUAUUCAUAAUGGAUCCCAAUGGCAGGUGCUGAUCCAACAUGGUACCAGGAUCUGGAUGGACAGAGUAGAGAUGGGUCCCAAUUGCUUUUACAUGUGGCUACAUCCUAUAAUUCAUCUUAUUAUUUGCCCAAUUCAGCCUCUGCUGUGUCUCCCUCUUCAUCUCCCUCAUUGUCUUCCUCUUCAUCAUCUCCCUCAUCUCCCUCAUCAUCAUCAUUCUAAUCACUGUCAUUGUGUCCUCAUUUGCUGCCUGUUCUGCUCUCAUAUUUCCUGUGUCUCAUUCUCUGAUCAUUCUCUGCCUCUCACUCUAAGAGCUCUCUGCGUGUUGUUCUAUAACCAUUAAUUGAUACUCAGUGUCCAUUCAUUCUGUGUUUCAUUCUCUACCCAUUCAUUGCCACUUAUUAUCCAAUCAUUCUUUGUGUCUUAUUCUGUAACCAUUCAUUGCUCUUCCUUCUCCAAUCAUUCUCUUAUUUUAUCAGCUUUCACUGCCAUUCACUGUCCAAUCAUUCUCUGGUGUUUCAUUGCGUCAGCAUUUAACUGCACUGAACUGGCCAAUCAUUGUUUGUGUCUCAUUUUCUAGCUCUUCAUUGCCACUCAUUAUCCAAUCAUUUUUUGUCUGUCUUUUUCUAUCCAUUCGCGGCCUCUCAUUGUCCAAUCAUUCUGUCUGUCUCAUUCUGUUACUAUUCAUGUAAUUCAUUGUCAUUGUGUGCAUCUCUCUCCCCAUUCACCUACGCAAUUCAUUGUCCAGUCAA
ensembl:lncRNA